UGCGUAGGCGGAAUAUUAAGUCAGUGGUGAAAUCCUGCGGCUCAACCGUAGAACUGCCAUUGAUACUGAUAUUCUUGAAUGUAGUUGAGGUAGGCGGAAUGUGUAAUGUAGCGGUGAAAUGCUUAGAUAUUACACAGAACACUGAUUGCGAAGGCAGCUUACUAAACUAUGAUUGACGCUGAGGCACGAAAGCGUGGGGAGCGAACAGGAUUAGAUACCCUGGUAGUCC
rnacentral:rRNA from 1 species